rnacentral:rRNA from 1 species
CAGACUGCUAUUGGGAUUCGACUAAGCCAUGUGAGUUUUCCGCGAGGAAGCGAACUGCUGAGUAACACGUGGGUAAUCUGCCUUAAGGCGGGGUAUAACCUCGAGAAAUUGAGGAUAAUCCCCUAUAGACUUCGGAUACUGGAAUGUUCCCAAGUCCAAAGCUUCGGCGCCUUAAGAUGAGCCCGCGGCUGAUCAGGCUGUUGGUGGGGUAAUGGCCCACCAAACCAUUGACCAGUAGGGGCAGUGAAAGCUGGAGCCCCCAGUUGAGUACUGAGACACGGACUCAGGCCCUACGGGGCGCAGCAGGCGCGAAACCUCCGCAAUGCACGCAAGUGUGACGGGGGGAUCCCAAGUGCUCUUGGAUUUUUCCAAGGGCUUUUUCCAAGUGUAAGUAGCUUGGCGAAUAAGAGCUGGGUAAGACGGGUGCCAGCAGCAGCGGUAAUACCCGCGGCUCGAGUUGUCUGGGUUUUUAUUGGGUCUAAAGCGUCCGUAGCCGGACUGAUAAGUUCCUUGUGAAAUCUAACGGCCUAACCGUUAGGCGUGCAGGGGAUACUAUUAGUCUUGAGACCGGGAUGGGCCAAAGGUACUCUUGGGGUAGGGGUGAAAUCCAAUAAUCCUGAGGGGACCAUCUGUGGCGAAGGCGUUUGGCUAAAACGGGUCUGACGGUGAGGGACGAAAGCCAGGGGAGCGAACGGGAUUAGAUACCCCGGUAGUCCUGGCCGUAAAUGAUGCGGACUAGGUGUUACGUACCCUUCUUGGGUAUGUGGUGCCGUAGGGAAGCCGAUAAGUCCGCCACCUGGGAAGUACGAUCGCAAGGUUGAAACUUA